ensembl:lncRNA
AGUUCAUAACAGGGAGAUGAGAAACCUGGUAAUUGGAACAAUGGAGCAAGACAAAACAUUUUAUCUACUGAACCAAAAACGCUUUACAGUGACAGCCAUUAUUUUCCUGAGAGCUGCAACGGACCCACGACAGAGAUGGAAACCAAGUUUCCAUAAAGUCUUCAGAGUAGGUGCAACUGGUUGCAAUUACUUGAACUGAUACAUUUGGAGCAUGGUAGUGGUGUUCAGCAAUUGCAGUGCACAGGAUGGAAAACCAAUCUUUGGAACAGGUCAUACCUUGAUCAGCUGCACCAGGAAGCAAACAUUUGUCUAAAAGGAUAUUCAAUUUCUGUUUAAGGCCCUGGCAUAUCGCCACAUGUCCCACCCAACCCACGGGACAGUAGAUGUUGAGAAUUGUGUCCUCUGAAUCUACAUGUCCUGCACAUCUAAUGCUAUUCUGGUUCUUACCAUGGUAUUUUCUUUACCAGGAACUGUAGACUAUAAUCCUUACGUAAUGGAGAGAGGGCACUUUAUUUAGCUUAUAGGACCACAACCCUGGUGUUGGCCCAUUGCACUGCCCUCUAUGAAAUUCCUGGGCUAAUCCGACCCCUGGGCUGAUCUGACCUCAGGAUUUGAACCCUGGUCUUGCAAUGAUGCAGCCAACUGUGAGUCAGUGACUUUGCUGUGGGGCCAUAUAGGGGUUGAAAUGUCACCCUUACCUUAAACCUAUCCUUAACCACGAGUGUGGUGCAGACAAGCCUUAUCCUACAUCAGCAUCAGGGCCUAUGCUCCAGUGAGAAACACUUGGCCUAAAAUCCAAACUGGCACCCUUGAAUGCAGGUCAGCUGCCACCCCUUGACAGGGCACCCGUGCUUCCAAUCAGGCUUCGUCAGGGGUAGUGUUAAAGGGCCCCAGAAAAGCAGCUCUGGGCAUGAAGAAGAAGCAGCAGGAGAAACGAGCAGGGUGAUGCUGAACAUUGCAGCUGCCCUCUGUAGAAAGCACUAGAAGAAUAAGGAUAGGAGAAGAAAAGUGCAGAGUUCACCAAAGCCAGGACCACCCCAUGAACAUCUACCAUGUGGCUAUUUUAGGAGAAGCUGCCUCACCACCACCAGUGUUUUGCCUUUGAGUUUUUUAUUGUUUGCUUAAUAAACACAUGCCAGAAACCUGCACCCUUGCACAGUAUUUGUUUCCUUGUGUCUUCUCACUGUUACUCAAGGUUAAUCUAAUGCCUAACCUUAAAUGAUGAUCACAACAUUUAGGUUUGUUUAAAAUUAUACAUUGUUGACUGUGGAAUCUGAUUUUGUGGCUAUAGAAUGUACUGAAACCUUUAUCUACCAUUAUAUAGAGUCUAUAUUGUCCUCUAACCAUAAACCUAAUAUAGCUUGCCACUUCAUGUUAUUUCUUU